UACGUAGGGGGCUAGCGUUGUCCGGAAUCAUUGGGCGUAAAGAGCGUGUAGGCGGUCCGGUAAGUCCGCUGUGAAAGUCGGGGGCUCAACCCUCGAAUGCCGGUGGAUACUGUCGGGCUAGAGUGCGGAAGAGGCGAGUGGAAUUCCUGGUGUAGCGGUGAAAUGCGCAGAUAUCAGGAGGAACACCUAUUGCGAAGGCAGCUCGCUGGGCUGUUGCUGACGCUGAGGCGCGACAGCGUGGGGAGCAAACAGG
rnacentral:rRNA from 1 species